GGAGGAUCCACACUGCAGACUGGAGAAACUCAAUGUGGAACAUGGUGGAGAGUACACAAUGAAACCUGGGCUUAGAAAAUAUGUCUGUGAUCUCACACUGGACCCAAACA